AGCAGCCGCGGUAAUUCCAGCUCCAAUAGCGUAUAUUAAAGUUGUUGCAGUUAAAAAGCUCGUAGUUGAAUUUCGGGGUUAGCAGGUCGGUCGUGCCAUCGGUAUGAACUGGUCUCGCUGAUCCCUCCCUCUUGACGAACUGUGAUGCCAUUAAUUUGGUGUCGCAGGGAAUCAGGACUGUUACUUUGAAAAAUUAGAGUGUUUAAAGCAGGCUCACGCUUGAAUACAUUAGCAUGGAAUAAUGAAAUAGGACGUUUGAUCCUAUUUUGUUGGCUUCUAGGAUUGACGUAAUGAUUAAUAGGGAUAGUUGGGGGCAUUAGUAUUCAAUUGUCAGAGGUGAAAUUCUUGGAUUUAUUGAAGACUAACUACUGCGAAAGCAUUUGCCAAGGAUGUUUUCAUUAAUCAAGAACGAAAGUUAGGGGAUCGAAGACGAUCAGAUACCGUCGUAGUCUUAACCAUAAACUAUGCCGACUAGGGAUCGGAUGAUGUUAAUUUUU
rnacentral:rRNA from 1 species